rnacentral:snRNA from 1 species
CAACUUAACUGUUUGCUACUU